CCACACCACUGUAUGGUUAAUUUAAAAAAAAAAAAUGGUGUGUGAUGGCUGCAAACAGCAGCCUCCUCGUUAGUGUUCGCACGCAUCCUGUCACUUGUGCAGGUUGCUCUAAGGGACCUUUGAGACAGCC
rnacentral:snoRNA from 1 species